CAGACCACCAGCUAAGGUCCCAAAAUAUAUGUUAAGUGGAAAAGGAUGUGGCGUUGCCCAGACAACUAGGAUGUUGGCUUAGAAGCAGCCAUCAUUUAAAGAGUGCGUAAUAGCUCACUAGUCGAGUGACACUGCGCCGAAAAUGUACCGGGGCUAAACAUAUUACCGAAGCUGUGGAUUGUCCUUUGGACAAUGGUAGGAGAGCGUUCUAAGGGCGUUGAAGCAUGAUCGUAAGGACAUGUGGAGCGCUUAGAAGUGAGAAUGCCGGUGUGAGUAGCGAAAGACGGGUGAGAAUCCCGUCCACCGAUUGACUAAGGUUUCCAGAGGAAGGCUCGUCCGCUCUGGGUUAGUCGGGUCCUAAGCUGAGGCCGACAGGCGUAGGCGAUGGAUAACAGGUUGAUAUUCCUGUACCACCUAUAAUCGUUUUAAUCGAUGGGGGGACGCAGUAGGAUAGGCGAAGCGUGCGAUUGGAUUGCACGUCUAAGCAGUAAGGCUGAGUAUUAGGCAAAUCCGGUACUCGUUAAGGCUGAGCUGUGAUGGGGAGAAGACAUUGUGUCUUCGAGUCGUUGAUUUCACACUGCCGAGAAAAGCCUCUAGAUAGAAAAUAGGUGCCCGUACCGCAAACCGACACAGGUAGUCAAGAUGAGAAUUCUAAGGUGAGCGAGCGAACUCUCGUUAAGGAACUCGGCAAAAUGACCCCGUAACUUCGGGAGAAGGGGUGCUCUUUAGGGUUAACGCCCAGAAGAGCCGCAGUGAAUAGGCCCAAGCGACUGUUUAUCAAAAACACAGGUCUCUGCUAAACCGUAAGGUGAUGUAUAGGGGCUGACGCCUGCCCGGUGCUGGAAGGUUAAGAGGAGUGGUUAGCUUCUGCGAAGCUACGAAUCGAAGCCCCAGUAAACGGCGGCCGUAACUAUAACGGUCCUAAGGUAGCGAAAUUCCUUGUCGGGUAAGUUCCGACCCGCACGAAAGGCGUAACGAUUUGGGCACUGUCUCAACGAGAGACUCGGUGAAAUCAUAGUACCUGUGAAGAUGCAGGUUACCCGCGACAGGACGGAAAGACCCCGUGGAGCUUUACUGUAGCCUGAUAUUGAAAUUCGGCACAGCUUGUACAGGAUAGGUAGGAGCCUUUGAAACGUGAGCGCUAGCUUACGUGGAGGCGCUGGUGGGAUACUACCCUAGCUGUGUUGGCUUUCUAACCCGCACCACUUAUCGUGGUGGGAGACAGUGUCAGGCGGGCAGUUUGACUGGGGCGGUCGCCUCCUAAAAGGUAACGGAGGCGCUCAAAGGUUCCCUCAGAAUGGUUGGAAAUCAUUCAUAGAGUGUAAAGGCAUAAGGGAGCUUGACUGCGAGACCUACAAGUCGAGCAGGGUCGAAAGACGGACUUAGUGAUCCGGUGGUUCCGCAUGGAAGGGCCAUCGCUCAACGGAUAAAAGCUACCCCGGGGAUAACAGGCUUAUCUCCCCCAAGAGUUCACAUCGACGGGGAGGUUUGGCACCUCGAUGUCGGCUCAUCGCAUCCUGGGGCUGUAGUCGGUCCCAAGGGUUGGGCUGUUCGCCCAUUAAAGCGGUACGCGAGCUGGGUUCAGAACGUCGUGAGACAGUUCGGUCCCUAUCCGUCGUGGGCGUAGGAAAUUUGAGAGGAGCUGUCCUUAGUACGAGAGGACCGGGAUGGACAUACCUCUGGUGUACCAGUUGUCGUGCCAACGGCAUAGCUGGGUAGCUAUGUGUGGACGGGAUAAGUGCUGAAAGCAUCUAAGCAUGAAGCCCCCCUCAAGAUGAGAUUUCCCAACUUCGGUUAUAAGAUCCCUCAAAGAUGAUGAGGUUAAUAGGUUCGAGGUGGAAGCAUGGUGACAUGUGGAGCUGACGAAUACUAAUCGAUCGAAGACUUAAUCAA
rnacentral:rRNA from 1 species